rnacentral:rRNA from 1 species
AUGCUUCCAAGAAGCGAGUCAGAGAUGCUACUCCUUCUUCCUCAACUCAAGUGGCUAAGCAACAGAAGUAUUGGCUUCCUCCUCCUCCGUUCUGUCAGCCUUAUCAGUAGAAGAGCAAAGGUGGCAGUGGAUCUUCCCACCCACCCAACCCUGGCUUUCAGAACAAGACUUCGUCUCAAGCUCCAAGAUCGAGUGCUCCGUAUCACCGUCCGCUUUCAGAGGUCACGUGCAAAAAGUGCCAACAGAAGGGUCACUAUGCCAACGAAUGCUUCAAUUAGAGGCGCCUCCCUCCUCCUCCUCCUGUGA